UCCUUUUUUUCCUCUCCCUCCCAGACAAGCCGAUCAAGAUAUAUAGUUUGGAAGCCCGCCAGCCAGCGCCCACCAGCGGCCCCAGUGCGCCUUGUGCCUUCACUUGCGGCGUCCCCUCUCCCCUAUCCUCCUCAAAGUCCUUCAGCAUGUCAGUGCUGUCCAUCCUGAGACGCGGGGAUUUAGCAGACUGGGUCCUGGUUAGGCUGGUGGGUCCCUCAUGACGACUGAGAGGGACUAGAGUGCAGGCCUUUGUACCCUUCCCGCGAGGCAUGUCAUUCCUGCAAGCCCAGGGGUUCAUCGCACACGUCUCCUGCCUGUGAGGGCGCACACGGGCAUUUCCUUGCAAGAAUAACAUGCAUGCGGGGGCUCGCCUAAUACUCACUAGGCAAUGAUUCCAGCGGCGCUAAGUUGGACUCAAAUGGCUGUAAGAAGAGAGGGGACGGAUCAGGGUUGGCUCGGAAGUAAAAAGAGAACUUCACUAUUUCUCCUCACCCUGGAAAAGGCACUAUUUUGAUUACUGUUUCUGUAUCUUGAGUUGGAAAUGGAUGGGUUCAGGGGAUGAGGGGCACCGCUACUACCAUCUCUCCUGUGCCGCGUCGCCUCGUCCUCGUCCUCAUUCGAUUAAAAGAGGCAGUGAUACACGAGACACUCCUGACAAGAGUCGAGAAUCCCUCAAUUCUCCCUUCUUUCCCUUCCUUACUCGUGGUGUUCUUCCUUCCCCUCCUCCAUCUUUAUUUUUUUUUUUUACUCCUUCCUUCCACGCUUGCUUCUCAUGCUCUUUUUUUUUUCUCUCCUUUCUCUUGCCGUCUCUCGUUUCCUUCUCUUUCUCCUCCUUGCCGUCCUCCUUCUCUUAUAUCUUCUCUCUCCUCCUCGUUCUUCUCCCUCUUCCUCCUCCACUUUCCGCCAUUCCUCCUCCUCCUCCUCCUACUCCUCCUCCUCCUCCUCCUCCUCCUCCUCCUCCUCCUCCUCCUCCUCCUCCUCCUCCUUCUCCUCCUCCUCCAGGAUUUUUUUUCUCGUACCUCAUUUAUUUAGUGUUCUCUUCUCUGACGUCCAGUAUUUUCUUUUUCCAUUCAGUUAAUCAUUUUAUCCUUCUUUCUCAUCUGUCAUUUGUCGUUUCUCGUCCUUUCUUACGCCUCCCAUUUGUAACAUUCUCGAUCUUAACUGACUUAUUUCUUAUCUUUUUUUUCAACUUUUUUUUUUUUCUCUUUCGCUUUAUCAAUUUCGUUGCUUUUAUUUUAUUACUGGUCGCAGACACUUUUCCUCCUUUCGUAAUUUUGUUCUAUAUUUCUAAAUUGAUUCUACCAUGAUUAUAUUUUUCAGUUUUCCUUUCCUGGCCAUUUUUUUUUUCUGUUAUUAUAAUAUAUUUCAAUGAAAUUUUCAUAUAUCACCCUCCCUCCCUUCUCCUUCUCCUCCUCCCUCUCCCUUACUCUCCUUUAUCUUCGCCCACCCUAUAAUCUCCUCUCCCUUUCUCUCCCUUCCUCUCCUUGCCUCGCCUCGUCUUGCCUCGCCUUACUUCGGCUUUUCUGUUUUCUGAUCUGCUCUGUUCUCUCCUUUCCUCUCCUUUGUUCUCGUUUCCUCUUUUUUUUCUGUCUUUUCAAUCAGUCAGUCCUAUCCUUUCUUCUCUUCCUAAUCGCAUUUCCGCCAUCUCCGUUACUCUCUCUCUCUCUCUCUCUCUCUCUCUC